rnacentral:rRNA from 1 species
UACGGGGGGGGCAAGCGUUGUUCGGAAUUACUGGGCGUAAAGGGCUCGUAGGCGGCCAACUAAGUCGGACGUGAAAUCCCCAGGCUCAACCUGGGAACUGCGUCUGAUACUGGAUGGCUUGAAUCCGGGAGAGGGAUGCAGAAUUCCAGGUGUAGCGGUGAAAUGCGUAGAUAUCUGGAGGAAUACCGGUGGCGAAGGCAGCUCGCUGGGACGUAACUGACGCUGAGACGCGAAAGCGUGGGGAGCAAACAGG